GGGGGUCCUACAGCCAUGCUUCCUACAGAGUAAACAACUAGUGCCCCACUGGAGAGCUCCUGGAGAGGAGAGCUAGAGGACAGGGGAAUGACGGAGGGAGGAAGGGGGAUACGUAAGGAAAGGUGGAUUGUAAACAGGCAGGCAUUGUUUCCCUUUUAUCUCCGUCUGGGAGACGCCUGCCAAGGCUGUGCAAACAAGGAACACAGAGCAGGCACACACACACAGCCCUGUGACAACCCCUGCAGCCCAGACCAGGCCCAAUCUGUCAUACACACACACACAGCCCUGUGACAACCCCUGCAGCCCAGACCAGGCCCAAUCUGUCAUACACACACACACAGCCCUGUGACAACCCCUGCAGCCCAAACCAGGCCCAAUCUGUCAUACACACACACACACAGCCCUGUGACAACCCCUGCAGCCCAGACCAGGCCCAAUCUGUCAUACACACACACACACAGCCCUGUGACAACCCCUGCAGCCCAGACCAGGCCCAAUCUGUCAUACACACACACACAGGCAAGCAAAGUGAAGGCUGAAUCGCUACAACGACACACAGCAGACAGUGGGUAACACAACACACAGAGCAGAAGGCCCCCCUGCCCUGUCCGUAACACUAUCAGCACUCCGGUGGCAAUCCAACAGCCACUGUCAUCCCCCAUUCAGUUCACAAAACACACUGACAACAAGGAAAUCACCUUCUCAGCAGCAACACCAGCGGGAGAGACAGAUAAAAAGGAGAGAGGGAGAAACAUUUGGUCUACCAACCUAGCUAUAUCAGCUCCCCAGUCCCACAACAUCUCCAGUCACCGACAGCAUUCCUCUGGGAUGAAACUCCUUUUGUCCAUUCUCUGUGGUCACCAAUAGAAAAACCAAACUGCAGGGCCAAACUCCCAUCAAUCAGAAUAGCCACUCACUGGUAGAGAGAGAGUGUAUGCUUGUUAGGAGACCUACUGAUGUAAGCUAGUCACCAGAGAAAAUACCCAGUCAGUCAUGACGCAUACUUAGGAACAGAAAUAGCAAUAGGGCCCCCAGAGGGAUUAUACAACAGACUACAUUUAGAGGCACUUCCACUGGCCCAAAGACCAGGCAGCGGCUUGUACACACUCUCGCUCUCUCUUUUGCUCUUUUUUCUCUCUCUCUUUGCUGGCCCCCGAGUCUUUUUUCACAAAGUAAGUUGACAUUUUCCUAAGCAAGACAUGAGCAUAAAUA
ensembl:lncRNA